CUCAUGUGGGUCAGACUGAUGUUAACAGCUUGGCGUUCGAUCCUCAUUGCAGAGGCCUAAGAUCAACAUGGAUCCCGGAUCAAUUAUAGACACCUGGAGCUCCUGGUAGACAAGGUGGUGCAGAGGAAGGUACUUCUUAUCCCAAGGACUGGCAGAAGAGCCCAUGUCACCAUGCCCUGCAGCCAUUUUCAUGUCACUCAAUCUGUCCUUUCCUCUCAUUCCAGAAGAAAACAAUAAUGGGCAGAAUGUCAGGAUAUGAUCUGAUUGAUGAACACCCCUUGCUAAGAGACAGCGUGUGUAAUAAAGCAACCGGAGACACCAAGCAGCAAGCUCCCUGACAACUGGAUCAAGACAGAUGCUGCCAGAAGUGCUGAGCUUUUCCAGCAAUUUUGAUCCAAUAACUGGUCUGGACUACCCAUAUAAGUACUGUGCCAACAAGAAGAAGUCGGAGAGACACAGAAGUCUGAGACAAGUAGCUCACUGCAAACUAUCACCUACAAUGUACGAGCCAGGUGCCUGGUGAGAUACUCCCCAUUUGCUCGAUGAGCAUCACUACAACAACACUCAAGAAGCUUGUUAUCAUAAAAAGAAAGCAGCCGACUUGAUUGUUACCCAAUUAGCUGUCUUCGUUGUUUACUCCCUGCAAACAAUACAAAGCAGCAGCAUCAUGUAUCAUCCACAUACUGCAGUAAAUUGUCAAGGUUGAAGAAAGCACCUCCAAACUGAUAAUCUCUGCCACUGGAGAAGCAAGGGUUAUGAGUCCAUGUGAACACCAUUUGCAAAGAUCAUCUCCCAGUCAAUCCAUUUUGAUCUAGAACUAUUGCUUCGCAGUUGGUGGAUCAAAAACCCUGGGGCUUUCUCCUAAGCAACACUGUGCAUGUACCUAUAUGUGAUAGUGAUGGGAUGCAGUAAAUCAAUAGGUGACUCAGCUGUUCCUUCUCAAGGGAAAUUAAUGAUGGUUUAAUACAUGAUAAAUGCUGGCUUUGUCGAUGGCACUCACAUCCCACAAAUUCAUUUGUGUUUUUUUUGACAAAAACAUGGCACAGCUUCUGACUGCAUCACUUCAAUCUUCUUUGUAACUAUCUGGGUUAUCUGACUGACAAUAACAAGGGUCCUGGCAGUUAAGCAGGGGUGGUAGGAUACUGCUGUCCUCCUGAGAAAGAACAGCAGAUUCAUGCUUCAUGAUACCACUGUCCCUGCCUUGAGGGGGAUCUUCAGCAGUGCUCGUAAUAUGCUGCAGGAAGACUGAUGGAUCUGUUAAGGCUACCUAACUUUUUAAACUCUAGUAUCCACAGCAAUCUAAAUUUACAUGACAAUGGGCUUAACCCUCUGAUAUUAUUGGUAGAAGCAGUUUCUCUUACAAUGAAACUGAGAAUUGACCAUGGGUCCUAAAAUGGUCAGUUGCACAGCUAAGCUGAUAGAGCUAACUGUAUAUUCCAUUUCAGAAAAGUUGGAGUUCAAGAUUUUCAAAUACAAAUCUGAAUCUGUGUCAGACUCCUCCAUGUUCUAUCGUACUGAGUAGACAUUCCCCUUCAGGGUUCCCACUGCACUGUGAAUUUAAUUGUCUGCACUCAGCCACCCAGCAUAACUUGGUCACUGAAGUCAACAACUGAUACUCCUACUGCAGAAUCAGAUGGGGCUUUGCACUCCGUACUCCCCAUCCUGUGUGCUAGAAGCUGUGUCAUCCUUUCACUUUAUCCUGACCUCUGCUUACCUUUAUUCAUUGUCUCACCGUGCACACCCCACUUCCACUGUCCCUUAAUUUGCACAAUACGUAGGUCGUUAGCUGAGAAUCAGAGAUCAAGAGACAGUAUCUCUUCUUCUUAAGACCAUAAGAUCAUAUCCAUUAUACAUGUGCAGAAUUAAACCAUUUGGCCCACUGUGUCUGCUGCAUCAUUCCAUUGUUGUGGACCAGACCACACCCGCUUAAAAUAUUUUGAUAAGGUAGCCUAAACUCUGAUUAUUUGUUUCUUAUUUGAAAGCAAAUAUAACAUGCUGUGC